CUUUGGGCAGGUAGCCCGUCUCUUCCAAACGUCUUUAAGAGGGGAUUAAAGAUCACAGGAGCGACGGAAUCAAGAGGCUGCAGACCCAUACAACUCAGUGAGAAGCAGAGUGAAGGUGAAGGAGGGCCCAGGGAGAGCCAGGACCCCCAAGAUGCUGCUGGGAAAGACCUAGGGAAAUACCUGAUACUAUUGCUGUUGCAAGUGAUGACCAUGUGUGAGAUACUGGUGUGUGCAGACCCUGGGUCUAGAGAGCUGACACCAUGAUCUCCUGAAAGACAUCACAACUACUGCUCUCCAUACUUCCCAUUGAGUCUCUAACCCAGACUGAUCAUGGGGAAAAUGUAAAUAUGGCCACCUGUGCACACACUCUCUCUCUACUUUUGAGAUGGGGGUCUAAUUUUGGAACUCACUAUAUAGCUUAGGCUAGCCUCAAAUUCAUGGCAGUUCUCCUGCCUCCAAGUGCUGGGAUUACAAGCUUGAACCACCACACCUGGCUUGUCUCUUUCUUAACCUUCCAACAGGGGAUGG
rnacentral:lncRNA from 1 species